rfam:Oryza sativa (indica cultivar-group) chromosome 1, whole genome shotgun sequence.
AAAGGGUGUAGUUUUGGAACGCUUAUAUCCAACGUUUUAUCGUCGUCUUAUUUGAUAAAUUUUUAUAAUUAAUAUUUUUAUUGUUAUUAGAUGAUAAAAUAUGAAUGAUACUUAUGUAUGACUAACUUUUUUUUAAAAAAAAUUCAUAAAUUUUUCAAAUAAAAUGGACGGUCAAACGUUGCACACAGAAAUCUAAAACUAUACAUAAA